GGGGACCGAUUCUCUAUUGCAUACACCUGAUCCUUGUACCACAGCAACAGUAUGGCCUCCCCAUCCUGAAUUAUCACCCGCCGCUCCCCCCUUGGCAGCGCCGCCAGCGGCACCACCGGCACCCAGUUGUCUCCUCCUCCCCCUGACGCCGACCCUUCCUCCACGGACACCUCCAUCGCCUUGCACCUCGUCGUCAGGACUACCCGAGAGGUAGGAUGGUAAUUCCCCACAGUAACAGAUGAUGAUACGGGAAUUGGAUUAGCAGCAGCAUGAGCAUGGUAAAAGCUGUGCGGCGGUUUCUGGGAAGUGAGGAGGG
rnacentral:lncRNA from 1 species